rnacentral:rRNA from 1 species
GUCGCAAGACUAAAACUCAAAGGAAUUGACGGGGACCCGCGCAAGCGGUGGAGCAUGUGGUUUAAUUCGAUGCUACGCGAAAAACCUUACCACUUUUUGACAUGAAGGUCGUAUCCCUCCUAACAGGGGGAGUCAGUUCGGCUGGACCUUACACAGGUGCUGCAUGGUUGUCGUCAGCUCGUGUCGUGAGAUGUUGGGUUAAGUCCCGCAACGAGCGCAACCCUCAUUCUUAGUUACCAACAGGUAAUGCUGGGCACUCUAAGGAAACUGCCAGUG